GGCGGAUGUAGCCAAGUGGAUCAAGGCGGG
rnacentral:tRNA from 1 species